rnacentral:lncRNA from 1 species
GCGUAAUAUCACUUGAACACUUGGAGAAAAAGAACUUCAUUUUCAGAAGCAAUUCAGGGGUGCUGAAUGUCUCCAAAGAUGACAGGAUUGUGAUGAGAGGGAGAAGGUUGAGUUGUCUGUACCAGAUGAAGGGAUCUGUUUUGUCUGAAAAGACUGAGGUGAUUGUUUCAGCCAUGGAGGAUCAGCAGAAGGUUCAAUCGGUGCAGAUUGGAUAGCUAAUGGUGUUUAUC